UCUUUUAAUUGAAGGCUGGUAUGAAUGGCUGAAUAAAGUAUAAGCUGUCUUAUUUAAAUUAAUAAUUGAAUUUUAUUUUUUAGUCAAAAAGCUAAAAUACUAUUAAAGGACGAGAAGACCCUAUAAAGCUUUAUAAUUAUAUUUAUAUUAAUUAUUUAGAAGUUUUUGAUUUUUAUAUGUAUAAUUAUUUUAUUGGGGUGAUAUUAAAAUUUAAUUAACUUUUAUUAUUUAUUUACAUUUAUUUAUGAUUUUUUUGAUCCAGUUAUAUUGAUUAUAAAUUUAAGUUACUUUAGGGAUAACAGCGUAAUUUUUUUUGAGAGUUCUUAUCGAUAAAAAAGAUUGC
rnacentral:rRNA from 1 species